rnacentral:tRNA from 1 species
UAGCUCAAUCGGUAGAGCGUAAGACUCUUAAUCUUAAGGUUGCGGGUUCGACCCCCGC